GCCAAGGCAGAGUUCUCAGGUCUUUGUUCAGGCUUUGGUGGCAGCAGCUUCAGAAUUCAGGAAGGAGUGAGCAGUCUUGACAUGAAGUCUCUCUCAAGAUUGCCUUCAGGCAAUAUGAAAAGUUGAGACAGGAGUGUCUGGAACAUCUGUAAUUUCACCAGAACUCCUUUGAAAGCCACAGGAGGGUCAAGUACAGCAGAGAUACAAGAGCAUGCAGUAAGAAGAAAAUUUCCUGCAUUCAUUUUCAU